AACUGUGCUUACCCUUGAGGAACUCCCAACUUAGCGACGCACAUACAUGGACAGACAGAAAAAAAAAAAAAAACAGGCUGAGAAAAACACUACGAAUGACCUCCAAAAGGAAACUGCCAACUUUUGUCCGUGAGAUUCAGAGACGGUCCCAGAGAGAAGGUGCCAUCUGAGAUGACUCUGAAAAGAUGAGGUGGAGACAGGGGCUCGAUCAUGAACCUCUUAAAAGAAAGGAAAUCCAGCGCGAAGAAGUUCCUGGCUCGCGGUGAAGAAACCACAGCUUACUGUGGAGACUGAAUCACUCUGUCAACAGCAACUGCUUGAAAUACCACAGAGACUGGAGACCAGGUCUACACAACACAGCUGCAGAGUGACUCUGAAAGAUGGAGCACAUACUGAACCUGAAGCUGGAGAAAAAAAAAAGAUGACUAAAACUGAUUAAAGAUUUAAGGAAACUGCAGUCAAAGCAGAGAGACUGGCUGUUAUGUUCUGAUCAAGGUGCUGACUUGGGGCAAGGUUUGGUAGAAUGAAGAUUUUAGUUGUUAAGGCUAAAAAGAUCACCAUGGAGGGUCCCCAGCAGCAUCUUAGUUUAGAGGAAGCUUGCCUCUCUUUUUUGAGCCUUCUAGAGAUCAUUGCAUAAACUUGAAUUUGAAUUUUCUUGUCUUUCCUUUGUAACCAAGUAAAAUUCCAUCCAGACUAUCCCAUGGAGAUGGAAGACGAUGAUGUUUUUAGAAAUUCCAGAUUAAGAGACAAGAAAGUAACGUUUAUUGACAUUUACUACACUCAGAGAACUUCAUAUGCUUAAAAAACAUUUUAAUUCUUUUGGAGAUCAAGAUAUAGAAUCUCCGUGUUCAGCUUCCCUAAAGUCUUAUGGCUUUUAAGAGCGAAUCCAUGAGUCAACCUGACCCUAAGGAAAUAUCAAUCACCCGUCUCAAGGUUCCCCUUUUUUACUGCCUGGAUAGUGAUCAGAUUAUGUCAAUGGCACUUUGAACUUUUGCAAGUAUCUUUUGCUGUUCUUUUCUCAGUAAUCAAAAGGUCCCAACUUCACAAGGCAGGGACCCAGGUCUCCAUCUGAUCAAGGAAACCUAAGUGAUGUUGUGGUGUUUAGUGACUAACCGUCUAGUUUAGGCUAUGGUUUUGCCAGUAGUCAUGUAUGGAUGUAAGAGUUGGACUCUAAAGAAAACUGAG